rnacentral:rRNA from 1 species
UACGUAGGGGGCAAGCGUUGUCCGGAAUCAUUGGGCGUAAAGCGCGUGUAGGCGGCUUGGUAAGUCCGUUCUGAAAGCCCGGGGCUCAACCCCGGGAGGCGGAUGGAUACUGUCAAGCUUGAGUCCGGAAGAGGCGAGUGGAAUUCCCGGUGUAGCGGUGAAAUGCGCAGAUAUCGGGAGGAACACCCGUGGCUAAGGCGGUUCUCUAGUACGGUACUGACGCUGAGACGCGAAAGCGUGGGGAGCGAACAGG